CCGAAGAAGGGGAGAUCUCAAGAGCCCAGGGAUGGGCGGGAAGGGACCAUGGGGAGCCACAAGUCUGCACCCAGGCGGGGAGUGGGCGAGCGAGAGCCGCUCCGCAGGCGCAGGCUUGAACCCAGAGCUUUGCCUGUGCUAGGCAAGAGAGGACAAUGCUCUCAGUCUUCCCCCUGAGGAUACAUUGCAAGAACUCCAGCGUGCACAGAAAGAGAACCAAGAGUGGAACUGGUAUGUGCAGUGCCUGCGGGGGCCAGAAGAAGGCAUCAGACCUAAGAGGGACAGUUUUAAGUUGGAGCGUCUGAGAAGAUGGCAGAACUUACUUCAAGGGCUGCAGGAUGGUGGCUCACACCUACUAUCCUACCACCUAGGGGGAGCCGAUGGAGGAGAAUCGGGAGUUCAAGGUCAUCCUGGACUACAUAGCAAAUUUGAGGUCAGCCUGGACGGCCGAAGGUCCUGGAUUCAACUCUCAGCAUUGCAAAAAUAAUAAAGAUCUUAUACCCGAGAGGAGUCCAUAGGAUCAGAGUCCUUGAGUACAAGGCACAGACAAGGUUAAGAGGCUAACAGGGUCAGAAGUUUGAGGUGGCUUUCUCUGAAGGGGAAUUAUCAUUCCAUCCAUUGCUGCUGAUGUACCUGCUGUGUGCCAAACAGACCUUGAGAAAGAAGACAAGGCUGGAAGUUUAAGCCUCCUUCAUGAUACAUAGAAACUGCAGCUGGGCCCUGGAACAGAGUCUCACUAUGUGGCCCUUGCUGUCCUGGAAUUCACUACGAA
ensembl:lncRNA